AUAAAGCAAAACAAAGUAAAAGAAGAUAGGAGAAGGAAGGACACUUGGAGAGGACACAUUUUUCCUAGUCUUCACACAAACAUGUGUCAUCGUCAUGUGUGUGAGGAACAAGCACCGAUUCUCCAACGUUCCUUUAACGUCCUCUCUCUUCAUAUAUAAUAUUACAUUAACAGAUAAGUACAAGGUACUGAAUAAUAAAAAGAACUGGAAGAACAACAGGCCAGAUAGGUGUGAAAAUGCAGGGAAGAAUACUACUUUGUGAUUGGUGGUCUAGAGUUAGACGGCAUCACCAACUCCGCCUCAUGGUAUCUAAACCGCCCAAUCGUUCAGCCGUUCAUGGUGCUAGGCUACCUGUUCUUCACCAUCUCAAUAAGGAAGAAGUGGAGAAGGAGAUCAGUAAAGGAAAGGAAGAAAAACAGAACAGAAGGAAUGAGGUGGAGAAGGCUGUGGACUCCCAACUCAACCAAUCUAAGUUCACUUACUACACACCUCUCGACUGAGCCCAGAUAUAAUGACAGGCUCAACUGUCAAUAUGUUGUAUUCAGCUUUAUAUAUACAUAAAUAUAUAUAUACUUGUACCAAAUGCAAAUGACAGAUAAGAGAGCAGAAAGGAACUCUAAUUAUGGUAAUGAGAGUAGUUACAUAAAUCGACAUAAAUUCAAGCUCAACAUGAGCCAACCUUGUACAUUAAGGCAGCAGAGCUCUUUAAUAGAGUUCACAUAUGUGGUCAAGACAUAUGUAACAUAGUAAUUUCAAAAAUCUUACAUGGGAUGAUGCUAUGAUUUUCACUUAAAAACUAAUUAUCUUCUUAUACUAAGAUGCACCUUCUGCUACUUCAACCAGCCUCCCGCGUAUCCAUCUUUUAGUAACGGUAACUGAAUUGGCCGCGGGCGUUUGCUCAUCCUGAGUUUCAGCCGCAGGCGUUUGCUCAUCCUGAGUUUCAGCUUUUGCUCCGUUUACUAGAGGUUUCUCUUUCUGUUCACUGUCUGUGCUUGGUUCCAAAUGGCCAUUUUCAUUUAUAAGAUCCGAUUGCUUCAUUAGAGUCUCAUAACUAAACGGAGAUAAACCAUAGGCGCUGGAGUUUAAUUGAAGAUGUCCCUCUUCACCAUUCAGUAUCUCAUGCAUAUUUAAAUUUCCAAAACUCAAGUCUUCUUCUUUGCUUGAUACUAAGGUUCGAGUUCCAUUCACUUUUUUUCCAUCUGCUUCUACUGGAACAUUGCCUACACCCUCUGUUCCAUUCUCAACCUGGCUGCCUAGUUCAUCUCCUACAAUAGAUGGGUUCUCACCAUUCACCUGGGAUGAGCUUUGGUCUACUUCAAUAGAUUCCAGUGAUCGAAUUGCUUCAGCUAUGAGCUUCCUAGUCUCCAAGAGAGAUGCUUGAGCAAUAGGGCUUUUUGUAGCUGCAACCUCAAGGGCCUUGGCAGCCUUUUCAGCUUCAGCAAUCAAUAAUCU